UGCUUUACACAUGCAAGUCGAACGGCAGCGCGGGGCAACCUGGCGGCGAGUGGCGAACGGGUGAGUAAUAUAUCGGAACGUACCCAGAAGUGGGGGAUAACGUAGCGAAAGUUACGCUAAUACCGCAUACGAUCUACGGAUGAAAGUGGGGGACCUUCGGGCCUCAUGCUUGUGGAGCGGCCGAUAUCUGAUUAGCUAGUUGGUGAGGUAAAGGCUCACCAAGGCGACGAUCAGUAGCUGGUCUGAGAGGACGACCAGCCACACUGGGACUGAGACACGGCCCAGACUCCUACGGGAGGCAGCAGUGGGGAAUUUUGGACAAUGGGCGCAAGCCUGAUCCAGCAAUGCCGCGUGAGUGAAGAAGGCCUUCGGGUUGUAAAGCUC
rnacentral:rRNA from 1 species